rnacentral:rRNA from 1 species
AUUGAACGCUGGCGGCAUGCUUUACACAUGCAAGUCGAGCGGCAGCGCGGGGUAACCUGGCGGCGAGCGGCGAACGGGUGAGUAAUGCAUCGGAACGUAUCCCAGAGUGGGGGGAUAACGCAGCGAAAGUUGCGCUAAUACCGCAUAAGCUCUGAGGAGGAAAGCGGGGGACCGAAAGGCCUCGCGCUGUGGGGAGCGGCCGAUGUCCGAUUAGCUAGUUGGUGGGGUAAAGGCCCACCAAGGCGACGAUCGGUAGCUGGUCUGAGAGGAUGAUCAGCCACACUGGGACUGAGACACGGCCCAGACUCCUACGGGGAGGCAG